CAUCGCCUCCUGGAACCCCAGUAUAGGAGGUCCCGCCUGCCCUGUGACAUUAGUUUAACGGCCGCGGUAUCCUGACCGUGCGAAGGUAGCGUAAUCACUUGUCUUUUAAAUGAAGACCUGUAUGAAAGGCAUCACGAGAUUUUACCUGUCUCCCUUCUUCAAUCAGUGAAAUUGAUCUCCCCGUGCAGAAGCGGGCAUAAAGACAUAAGACGAGAAGACCCUAUGGAGCUUUAAAUAAUAUAUUAAUAAAAUGAAUUUACAACCCUCAGGGGAAAAGAAAUGGACUUAGCAUAAUAAAAUUAUUUUUGGUUGGGGCAACCACGGGGUAUAACACAACCCCCAUAUCGAUUGGGCAGAAAUGCCUAAAAAAUAGAACGACAGUUCUGUUUAAUAAAAUAUUUAACGAGCAACGAUCCAGAUAUAUCUGAUUAAUGAACCAAGUUACCCUAGGGAUAACAGCGCAAUCCUUUUCCAGAGUCCCUAUCGACGAAAGGGUUUACGACCUCGAUGUUGGAUCAGGACAUCCUAAUGGUGCAACCGCUAUUAAGGGUUCGUUUGUUCAACGAUUAAUAGUCCUACG
rnacentral:rRNA from 1 species